rnacentral:lncRNA from 1 species
GCGGUUCGGUUCGGUUUCAAAUAAGAUUUUUUUUUUCAUUUUGCGGUUCGGUGCGGUUUUAGCUUCAAACCGAACCAAACCGCGAACAUCCCUAGUCUUUAAUGCAUAUUGUAACGUCGAUUUCAAUGUAUUUUUUUUCUUGCAUUUUAUAAACAAAUUUUUCAAGAACGCAAAGAAAGGUUACAUCACAUACGUUGACUUUGUCCACAAUUUUUGGAUUUUGAUCGGCUGACUUGUUCAUCGAGUUAGAACAAGUGUCGUACAAUCGUCCGUGUCGAGGUUGAAACGCUACGAUUGUGACACACUCAUCCCCUUAAUAAAUCCGCCUCUGAGAUGAACCCCACCUAAUAACUCUUCUUUAUUAAGUUUGUAAGAUGUUGACAACACCAAAAUGAAAAGUUUGUGAUUACUAAUGCUUAUCACCCUCUUACCUUCUCUGACGAUCGACAAUAUCCCACAAAGAAGAAGAGCCACUUAGUGCAUGUUCAUGGAGCUUCGUCCUGGGUACACAUGCUUGUCACAAUCAUAGCAUUUCAACCUCAUGACGGACAAUUGUGCGACACUUGUUUUAACUCAAUGAACAAGUCAACCAAUCAAAAUCCAAAAGUGUACGAUGUAACAUUCCUUUGCCUUCUUGAGUAGAUUGUUUAUAAAACGUGAGAAAGAAAGAAAUACGUUGAAACUGACGUUACAAUAUGCAUUGAAGACUGUCAGUUGCAAGGGAAAAGAUUUGCUUGCAAAGAGUGUGACAAUGCUUGGGCGGGGAUUCAGCUGGUAAGUCUGCUCUAUAGUACAUUUUAAACAUUUUCAGCUUUGUUAGACUUGUAUAUGAAAAUGCUGAAACGUCACACCCAAGCUUUAUGACUUAAAAUGGAAAACAAUUACCUAAACUAGAUAUAAGAUAUAAAGAUAAAUAAAUUUGGGGUAUUCAGAGCAUACGGCCAUAGGCAAACACGCCUUGGACUAGUAUCAUCGUGACAAACUCCCCCACUUAAACAAUUGGCGCCCCGUCGAUUGGCAAAGCUGGAAUCCUUCGAUUCUCUACUUCCACGCUUCAUGGUCUUUGGUGCGUCUUCCACUUGUUUCUUCCACGGGGAGGUUCUUCCCCUUCGCCAUGAACUUAUGUAUCCCCUCGUGGGUCUUCUAUUUUUCCUCAUUUCCUUAGCAAGGAUUUCUUUGACUUCUAAUAGUCGCUCGUGUCUUCUCACAAAAUGGUGACCUUUGUAUCUUCAUAAUUGAGUAUGUUCAGUCUAGUUUGACAAAGACUUGAAAGAAAAGAAAAGAAAAAGUUAAAGAAAAAGGAAUUGA